rnacentral:rRNA from 2 species
AGGGGAGCCGCAGGGAAACCGAGUCUUAACCGGGCGUUAAGUUGCAGGGUAUAGACCCGAAACCCGGUGAUCUAGCCAUGGGCAGGUUGAAGGUUGGGUAACACUAACUGGAGGACCGAACCGACUAAUGUUGAAAAAUUAGCGGAUGACCUGUGGCUGGGGGUGAAAGGCCAAUCAAACCGGGAGAUAGCUGGUUCUCCCCGAAAGCUAUUUAGGUAGCGCCUCGUGAAUUCAUCUCCGGGGGUAGAGCACUGUUUCGGCUAGGGGGCCAUCCCGGCUUACCAACCCGAUGCAAACUGCGAAUACCGGAGAAUGUUAUCACGGGAGACACACGGCGGGUGCUAACGUCCGUCGUGAAGAGGGAAACAACCCAGACCGCCAGCUAAGGUCCCAAAGUCAUGGUUAAGUGGGAAACGAUGUGGGAAGGCCCAGACAGCCAGGAUGUUGGCUUAGAAGCAGCCAUCAUUUAAAGAAAGCGUAAUAGCUCACUGGUCGAGUCGGCCUGCGCGGAAGAUGUAACGGGGCUAAACCAU